GAGAUCCAGGACAGCCAGAGCUAUACAGAGAAACCCUGUCUCGAAAAACAAAAUCUAAACAAACAACCACAAAAAAUGUCAACAACAACAACAAUGAUGAGCUGGUGAGCUGGCUCAGCUGGUAACGAACGGCUCUUGCCGGCAAGGGUUCUGUAUCCCUAGACCCACCAGUGGCAGGGGAGCACCAGCUCUCAGGAGUUGUCUUCUGACCGCCGUACCCACGCCAUGAUGUGUGCUUACACACACGCAUACACACACACACACACACACACACACACACACACACGCGCGCGCACACACACACGCACAUCACCAUACAAACAAGCAGAGAAAGACAACAACAGAAAGGCUCUGUGAGCCAAGCACAGUGCUAAGUGCUAAGUGCCUAUAGUCCCAGACACACGGAGACCCAGACUGGAGAGUCUGAAUUUAGGCUAGCCCAGCUGAGAACCACACAGUGAAAGUGUCCCCCAAAGACAAGGACAUUAGUGUGUGUGUGAGAGAGAAUGAGAGAGAAAGAGAGAGAGAGAGCGCUAGCACUGUGGCAUGUGUGGAGCGGUCAGGGAGUUGGUCCUCUCCUAAUGUGAGUCUCAGGUACCCUGUUGAGGUCGUCAGGCUUGCUCCUCCUGUACUUCUGUCCACCAGUCCCUCAAGAUCUUUGGAAGGCAUUCCUGCUAUACGCGUGUCUGGUUGUCUAAAGUAUUUUUAAUGUCUGUAACCUGGAUACUAAUUUUGGAGUUGUUUUCUAGAAAUUAGAAGUCUCAGAAGAGCCAGAUGACAAAAACACCCUUGUCAGUCAUUGAAGGAGACAAAGUCAACUUGGACAUUCACUGUGGCCAUGUAAGCAGGACUCUGUUUGGAAGGCAGAAAGCGGAUACCAUACUUCAUGUAAAGACAAAGGAGAUUGUGAUUCCCACAUAAGCAGCAUUUAGUACAAAGGCGAGCAGAAUCUCAAAGUUUACUUCUUAAAGCAACUGUAUUUUGUUUUUGAUGAACCAUUUUUGUGUAAAAAAAAAUAUUUUUUAUACCAAAGAAAUGAGGUCGUAUUCUACACACCUGUUUGGAACUAUGCUAAAAGGAAAAAAACAAAAAACCUCUGUCAGGAUGCAGACACGGUUUAAUUAAGCAGAGAAGCUUUUUAAACCGGGCAGUGUUCAAGAACCCCGAAUGUAUGAUGCUGCUUUCGCUGGUGUGUAUUCACAUUGUAACUUCUCAGUCAGCUCCCUAUGUGUGACGUAGUCUUGUCUUCUCUUAGGGUUUUAGCACUGGACUUUGUUGUGUUGAUGGGCAUGAGAUAAGAUGGUAUAAAAUGUUUGUAAUGGGACACUAUCACCUUGCUGGCAGUUAAGGCCAGUCUGUCCUCGGUCGACAGCUGCAUCUUGUCUGGCUCUGUAGUAGGCAGUUCACUUACACAAGACAGCGCUUGCUGGAAGAUUAAGUUUUGUAUGGAUUUUUAAAAAUAUAUUGAAGACUAUAUAGAUAAUAAAAAUAUAUUAUAUUGAAAUAUAAUUCCAUUUUAACUUUAAAAAAUUUUAAUUAAAAAAAGAUUACACUAUUUGCUUCUGCCCCUUC